rnacentral:tRNA from 1 species
GGCUUCAUAGCUCAGUUGGUUAGAGUGUCACACCGGUAUUGCAAGGUCACGGGUUCAAACCCCGUUGAAGUCC